GUACACACCGCCCGUCAAGUCAUGGGAGCUGGUAGUACCCGAAGUCCGCUUAGCURACCGUCAAAAGAGGCGGYGGCCGACGGUARGACCGGUGACUGGGACUAAGUCGUAACAAGGUWKCCGUAGGUGAACCUGCAGAAGGAUCA
rnacentral:rRNA from 1 species